AACAAUUAGGAAGGCAUGCCAGUGCUCUUGCAUGUUGCAUUGCGUCCAUCUUCAUGACGCAAAUGUUGGUUUUAUGUUGUUAUUAACAAAGACAUGAAUUGAAUGAGCUAAUUUUCAGAAAAUGGGAAGAGAAAAAUGACUACCUAAUUAUAUAAGUCAACUUUGUUUUCAGAACAUGAGAAUUAUUAUGUGUAUCUGCAACCAAUUGAAAAGGCCAAUUUUUAGUCUUAAUCAAAAUUUAAUUUUAUGGAUUUUGUAUUCCUCCUAAAAAAUGAUCUAUAAGUUUGAUUAGAAUGUUUCUAAAAUUAGAGGAUUUUGUAUCCAUCCUAAAAAAUCAUCUAUAGGUUCAAUUAGAAUGUUCUUGAAAUUUGAGGAUUUUGUAUCCCUCCUAAAAAAUCAUCGACGGGAUUUGAUGAAAUGACAUGUUUCAAUUUUGAACCAACGCUUUUAUGACAUUCCAAUUUCAAAUAAUCGCAUUUUAGUUGCUGAAGCUAAAUGAUCUAAAACUCAUAAUGACAUGGGGCCCUAACUUUGGAUUCUUGAGUGCAUUGCUUCAGAUGACAUGUCCUUAAACACGGGUUUUCCAUGCUAUCUUGUAUAUCACUAAUUCUAAAAGCCAUUGUGCUUCAUGCUACCUAGAGUAUGCAAAAGUCACCUAAGUUGAGUUGGCAUUUCUAAUUAUAACACUUUGGUCAAUCAUAUUGAUUGUUGCAUGUGCAAAGGUAGUUUGAGCAGGAGGCUAUUAAUCUAACGAUGAAUUUGCCACAACAUUCCACUUGGAGGAUUGAAUCACGUAUGUAGUUCUUGUUUGGAGUUCAAAUUGUAUGAUUCAGUUCAAUUCAAUUUUAAUUUUAUCUGUUAAUGCCUGCCUUUUUCUGCAAAUUGGCUAUAUAUGUCAGUUUCUUUGUUUUGAGACACUUCAAUAUAUGAUCUGUUACUUGGAGCAUCUAACAAAUUACAUGUAGCAUUCUGUUGCCUUUUUUUGUUUGUUUGUUUGUUUAAUCUCCAAAUCAAGUUUGGUUCAUGUACAGAGUUAAAUAACCCAUCAAGUCAUCUCUAACUCAUCUGGAAACUUGUAUUCAUGUACAGAUUAUUUUGCAUGUGAAGCCAAAAGAAUAAUUUUGUCUAUAGUUUUGUCACAAAGAUCAUGUGCAGCACAAAAUUUGCAGGUAGCUUGCUGGAAAUAGGUGCUUAAGCUGGACCUCUCGCAUCAGCUGGAUCAGCUUACGCUAUUGGAAGGACCAAGUGCUUCUGAGUUAGCAAACCUAAAACAAACAUGAAAAAAAUCGAGUGCAGCUCAAGAUUUGCAGAGAGUAUCACAUGUGAAGCAAAAAGAAUAAUUCUGUUUAUAGUUUUGUGUCACAAAGAUCAACUGCUGCUCAAGAUUUGACGUAUCUGCUUGAUCAACUUCAGCGCCUCAUUGCCUUAAAAGUGUUGUCAAUUGAAGAUUUUGAUGGAUUGGAAGCUCUGCCAGAGUGUCUGGGUAACCUUUCAUUUCUUUCAUUCUUUGAAGCUUUGGAAUUGCAAGAAUCUGAUGAAUCUUCCUAUGCUGGAAGCAAUGCAAUGCCUCACCAAUUUAUGAUAUUUGCAUACUUAUAAUUGCCAUGAUUUCAGACACCAGCAGCGGUCCCGACAGUGUCUUGAUACAAUUUGCUAAUCAUUCAUCACAGUGGCAGCAGCGCUAAAUAGGGGCAUCAUUUAGCUGAGCUUUAUGUUGACAAAGAAAAUGAUACAAGAGCUUUAAAGAUUGAGGGUUCUCUUAUAUCUAUGGCUAGCUUUUAUGCAUUAUAAAUUUGUUAACACUUAUAAUAGUACUAAACUGUGAGUCAUCUGAUGCCUCUGGAUCCUAUUAUGAAAUCAAUUCUGUAUUUUUUUUUUUUUGUUGGGAAC